rnacentral:rRNA from 1 species
CAGUCGCCACGGUAAUACGUAGGGUGCGAGCGUUAAUCGGAAUUACUGGGCGUAAAGCGUGCGUAGGCGGUGAGUUAAGUCUGCUGUGAAAUCCCCGGGCUCAACCUGGGAAUGGCAGUGGAUACUGGCUCGCUAGAGUGUGUCAGAGGAUGGUGGAAUUCCCGGUGUAGCGGUGAAAUGCGUAGAGAUCGGGAGGAACAUCAGUGGCGAAGGCGGCCAUCUGGGACAACACUGACGCUGAGGCACGAAAGCGUGGGGAGCAAACAGGAUUAGAUACCCGCGUAGUCCCUGUCUCUUAUAC